GGAUGAAUAUUGGUCAAUGGACGAGAGUCUGAACCAGCCAAGUAGCGUGCAGGAUGACGGCCCUAUGGGUUGUAAACUGCUUUUAUAAGGGAAUAAAGUGGGAGUCGUGACUCCUUUUGCAUGUACCUUAUGAAUAAGGACCGGCUAAUUCCGUGCCAGCAGCCGCGGUAAUACGGAAGGUCCGGGCGUUAUCCGGAUUUAUUGGGUUUAAAGGGAGCGUAGGCCGGAGAUUAAGCGUGUUGUGAAAUGUAGAUGCUCAACAUCUGCACUGCAGCGCGAACUGGUUUCCUUGAGUACGCACAAAGUGGGCGGAAUUCGUGGUGUAGCGGUGAAAUGCUUAGAUAUCACGAAGAACUCCGAUUGCGAAGGCAGCUCACUGGAGCGCAACUGACGCUGAAGCUCGAAAGUGC
rnacentral:rRNA from 1 species